rnacentral:rRNA from 1 species
ACGAACGCUGGCGGCGUGCCUAAUACAUGCAAGUCGAGCGGAAUGAUGGAAGAAGCUUGCUUCUUCUGAUUUUAGCGGCGGACGGGUGAGUAACACGUGGGCAACCUACCUUGUAGAUUGGGAUAACUCCGGGAAACCGGGGCUAAUACCGAAUAAUCCAGUUUUGCUUCAUGGCGAGAUGUUGAAAGACGGUUUCGGCUGUCACUACAAGAUGGGCCCGCGGCGCAUUAGCUAGUUGGUAGGGUAAUGGCCUACCAAGGCGACGAUGCGUAGCCGACCUGAGAGGGUGAUCGGCCACACUGGGACUGAGACACGGCCCAGACUCCUACGGGAGGCAGCAGUAGGGAAUCUUCCACAAUGGACGAAAGUCUGAUGGAGCAACGCCGCGUGAGUGAAGAAGGUUUUCGGAUCGUAAAACUCUGUUGUAAGGGAAGAACACGUACGAGAGUAACUGCUCGUACCUUGACGGUACCUUAUUAGAAAGCCACGGCUAACUACGUG